GGAGAGAGGGGAUUUAAUCCCAGAGCGGUCUGGAGCAGCCGGGGGCUGCACAGCUGUGCAGCUGCUCUGGCACCGUAUACUCUGGUCCCCUACAGCUGUGGGUGUUUGCCUUUAUGGGGAGCAGGGAGGGGACAGCUUUACAGUAAAUCCAGCCCUUACUGCUCCAAAAGCUGCCUGUUUUUAGCAGCCAGUGUCCAGAUGAAAGGCGUGUUUGCCCAGUUCAAGGAACGUCUAUUUUUUCCUGCUGACAAGCAUCUAGAUCACUUUGGAACGCAGCAGACAUCCCGAUGACGGUGUGGCUGUUCUCCCAAGGCUUGGCUCCACCUGGCCACCCAAAGCCUGAGUUUGGGAUCUCCUCUGGGAGUCUGGACACCAGCCAGCCUCGAUGGCCUGAGCGCUGCCAGGCCUGGAGCCUCUGCCGGCUUCCCGCUGGGAGCUCUCCCAGUCACACCCCUGCUCACUCGGGAGUUUAGAGCUGCUUGUGGAAUUACCUUUGUCUGCAGCUCAGACCGGGGUUCCUGCAUUUGUGCUGCCCCUGUUCCUGUCUCCUGCCUGUCCCUCAGUGCCUGUCUCUGCUGGUUUCCUUCUCUUCCGGAGGGCCGGGCCUGAGGGCGCGCAGGCCAGGCCGCCCCGUCCCUCGUGCCCCGCGGCUGGAGAUGUGCCGGGGCUGUGGGGCUGUGGGGCUGUGGGCUCUGUGUGCCAGGGACAGAGAAUCCACGGGACAGGGCCAGUCAAACAGCUCAACAGUACUCUUUGUGCUGCUCCUGCUGUCCCUUGAGCAACAAUACUCUUUGUGCUGCUCCUGCUGUCCCUUGAGAGCCGCGCUCAGAGGAGCCAGCCUGGUCCUCUCCAGCUGCAUUGAGGAGGUGGCAGGCUGGGACUCCCUCCAGAUGCCAGUAUGGUCUGUGCCCCACGAUGAGCUUUGUGCUGCUUUAUUCAUCCUGUGACAGUUCUAAGUAUAUAUAAAGUCUGUGUAUAUGUGGUUGAAACAGUAUUGUACAGGUGAGAGAAAAAACGAGGUUUUAGGGCGAGGAAAGCUGGCCAAGAAAUAAAUAACACCUGAAGAUUUCAUGAUAAGUAUGGAAAGUCAAUUUUCAAUUCCAAAUUAUCUGCCUUUUUCUAAAAAAAAUCAUGACGUAACAGAGGUAUACAGUGAUUUAUUUGCCCUGCCAAAAGUGCUCUGAUUUUGGAAAGCUGUGAAACAGCAAUCACACAAUUACCAGCCAGCCACAGGAUGGAGUGUGCCUGUGCAGAGCAUUCAUUAAGUCUGCUGUAAUCAUGAUCUGAUUGGAAGCAGGUCAGGGAAACAAAAAGGGCUAAUUUUGGGUAUAGAAAUAAUUUUCUGUGGAUAAUUAGGGUAUGUAUUAAUGGGUAAAACAUUUUGCAAAUGCUAGCUGCUAUGUAAACAUGCUUAUAGUUGUAAUUAAUGGAGUAAGGAAGUAUUUUGACAGACGAGAGUCAAGAUGAACUUUUCCUAGGAACAGUGUUUUCCACAGAAG
rnacentral:lncRNA from 12 species